rnacentral:piRNA from 1 species
UACUGAUUACAUAGAACAGGCUGGCCU